rnacentral:rRNA from 1 species
GAUCAUGGCUCAGAUUGAACGCUGGCGGCAUGCUUUACACAUGCAAGUCGAACGGCAGCACAGGGAGCUUGCUCCCGGGUGGCGAGUGGCGCACGGGUGAGUAAUACAUCGGAACGUGUCCUGUUGUGGGGGAUAACUGCUCGAAAGGGUGGCUAAUACCGCAUGAGACCUGAGGGUGAAAGCGGGGGAUCGCAAGACCUCGCGCAAUUGGAGCGGCCGAUGCCCGAUUAG